CAGCCGCCGCGGUAAUACGAAGGGUGCAAGCGUUACUCGGAAUUACUGGGCGUAAAGCGUGCGUAGGUGGUGGUUUAAGUCCGUUGUGAAAGCCCUGGGCUCAACCUGGGAAUUGCAGUGGAUACUGGGUCACUAGAGUGUGGUAGAGGAUAGUGGAAUUUCCGGUGUAGCAGUGAAAUGCGUAGAGAUCGGAAGGAACAUCUGUGGCGAAGGCGACUAUCUGGGCCAACACUGACACUGAGGCACGAAAGCGUGGGGAGCAAACAGGAUUAGAUACCCCUGUAGUCCCUGUCUCUUAUAC
rnacentral:rRNA from 1 species